CAGCAGCCGCGGUAAUACGAAGGGGGCUAGCGUUGCUCGGAAUCACUGGGCGUAAAGGGUGCGUAGGCGGGUCUUUAAGUCAGGGGUGAAAUCCUGGAGCUCAACUCCAGAACUGCCUUUGAUACUGAAGAUCUUGAGUUCGGGAGAGGUGAGUGGAACUGCGAGUGUAGAGGUGAAAUUCGUAGAUAUCCGCAAGAACACCAGUGGCGAAGGCGGCUCACUGGCCCGGAGCUGACGCUGAGACGCGAAAGCGUGGGGAGCAAACAGGAUUAGAUACCCCAGUAGUCCCUGUCUCUUAUAA
rnacentral:rRNA from 1 species